rnacentral:rRNA from 1 species
AGAGUUUGAUCAUGGCUCAGAUUGAACGCUGGCGGCAUGCCUUACACAUGCAAGUCGAACGGCAGCGCGGGAGCAAUCCUGGCGGCGAGUGGCGAACGGGUGAGUAAUAUAUCGGAACGUGCCCAAGAGUGGGGGAUAACUAGUCGAAAGAUUAGCUAAUACCGCAUACGAUCUAUGGAUGAAAGUGGGGGAUUCGCAAGAACCUCAUGCUCCUGGAGCGGCCGGUAUCUGAUUAGCUAGUUGGUGGGGUAAAAGCCUACCAAGGCGACGAUCAGUAGCUGGUCUGAGAGGACGACCAGCCACACUGGACUGAGACACGGCCCAGACUCCUACGGGAGGCAGCAGUGGGGAAUUUUGGACAAUGGGCGCAAGCCUGAUCCAGCAAUGCCGCGUGUGUGAAGAAGGCCUUCGGGUUGUAAAGCACUUUUGUCAGGGAAGAAACGGUUCUGGCUAAUACCCGGAGCUAAUGACGGUACCUGAAGAAUAAGCACCGGCUAA